GAUGAACGCUGGCGGCGUGCCUAAUACAUGCAAGUCGAGCGAACGGACGAGAAGCUUGCUUUUCUGAUGUUAGCGGCGGACGGGUGAGUAACACGUGGAUAACCUACCUAUAAGACUGGGAUAACUUCGGGAAACCGGAGCUAAUACCGGAUAAUAUUUUGAACCGCAUGGUUCAAAAGUGAAAGACGGUCUUGCUGUCACUUAUAGAUGGAUCCGCGCUGCAUUAGCUAGUUGGUAAGGUAACGGCUUACCAAGGCAACGAUGCAUAGCCGACCUGGGGGGGUGAUCGGCCACACUGGAACUGAGACACGGUCCAGACUCCUACGGGAGGCAGCAGUAGGGAACCUUCCGCAAUGGGCGAAAGCCUGACGGAGCAACGCCGCGUGAGUGAUGAAGGUCUUCGGAUCGUAAAACUCUGUUAUUAGGGAAGAACAUAUGUGUAAGUAACUGAGCACAUCUUGACGGUACCUAAUCAGAAAGCCACGGCUAACUACGUG
rnacentral:rRNA from 1 species